AGAGUUUGAUCAUGGCUCAGAUUGAACGCUGGCGGCAUGCCUUACACAUGCAAGUCGAACGGUAACAGGUCUUCGGAUGCUGACGAGUGGCGAACGGGUGAGUAAUACAUCGGAACGUGCCCGAUCGUGGGGGAUAACGAAGCGAAAGCUUUGCUAAUACCGCAUAAGAUCUACGGAUGAAAGCAGGGGACCGCAAGGCCUUGCGCGAACGGAGCGGCCGAUGGCAGAUUAGGUAGUUGGUGGGAUAAAAGCUUACCAAGCCGACGAUCUGUAGCUGGUCUGAGAGGACGACCAGCCACACUGGGACUGAGACACGGCCCAGACUCCUACGGGAGGCAGCAGUGGGGAAUUUUGGACAAUGGGCGAAAGCCUGAUCCAGCCAUGCCGCGUGCAGGAUGAAGGCCUUCGGGUUGUAAACUGCUUUUGUACGGAACGAAAAGACUCUGGUUAAUACCUGGGGUCCAUGACGGUACCGUAAGAAUAAGCACCGGCUAACUACGUGCCAGCAGCCGCGGUAAUACGUAGGGUGCAAGCGUUAAUCGGAAUUACUGGGCGUAAAGCGUGCGCAGGCGGUUAUAUAAGACAGAUGUGAAAUCCCCGGGCUCAACCUGGGAACUGCAUUUGUGACUGUAUAGCUAGAGUACGGCAGAGGGGGAUGGAAUUCCGCGUGUAGCAGUGAAAUGCGUAGAUAUGCGGAGGAACACCGAUGGCGAAGGCAAUCCCCUGGGCCUGUACUGACGCUCAUGCACGAAAGCGUGGGGAGCAAACAGGAUUAGAUACCCUGUAGUCCACGCCCUAAACGAUGUCAACUGGUUGUUGGGUCUUCACUGACUCAGUAACGAAGCUAACGCGUGAAGUUGACCGCCUGGGGAGUACGGCCGCAAGGUUGAAACUCAAAUGAAUUGACGG
rnacentral:rRNA from 1 species